rnacentral:rRNA from 1 species
GCGUAACGGAGGAGCACGAAGGUUAGCUAAUCCUGGUCGGACAUCAGGAGGUUAGUGCAAUGGCAUAAGCUAGCUUGACUGCGAGCGUGACGGCGCGAGCAGGUGCGAAAGCAGGUCAUAGUGAUCCGGUGGUUCUGAAUGGAAGGGCCAUCGCUCAACGGAUAAAAGGUACUCCGGGGAUAACAGGCUGAUACCGCCCAAGAGUUCAUAUCGACGGCGGUGUUUGGCACCUCGAUGUCGGCUCAUCACAUCCUGGGGCUGAAGUAGGUCCCAAGGGUAUGGCUGUUCGCCAUUUAAAGUGGUACGCGAGCUGGGUUUAGAACGUCGUGAGACAGUUCGGUCCCUAUCUGCCGUGGGCGCUGGAGAAUUGAGGGGGGCUGCUCCUAGUACGAGAGGACCGGAGUGGACGCAUCACUGGUGUUCGGGUUGUCAUGCCAAUGGCACUGCCCGGUAGCUAAAUGCGGAAGAGAUAAGUGCUGAAAGCAUCUAAGCACGAAACUUGCCCCGAGAUGAGUUCUCCCUGAGACUUUAAGUCUCCUGAAGGAACGUUAAAGACGAUGACGUUGAUAGGCCGGGUGUGUAAGCGCAGCGAUGCGUUGAGCUAACCGGUACUAAUGAACCGUGAGGCUUAACCUU